AGAUUGUGGCCUGAGAGCUGGUCUGGGACAGUCCCAGAGAAUUGGCGGCUCCAGCCAGAUGCUAUAUCCCUAUGAAGCCUGCGCCUAAGACAGGAAGCUCUGCUCAGCCUGAGGCUCAAAGCUUCCCUGAAGGGGGCUGCUUCCCCAGGCCCAGCUGGGGCUUCACCCCCUACUUGCUCUGCCCUGGGACCCUCCAAGCACCUGGAGAACAAGGUGCCACCUUCUCCCACCUUCAGACCAUACCACCUCCUCCAAAUAACCCAGCUCCUGUCUAGGAACCCCUCAGUAAUAGUGUCAGCAGCAGUAGCUACAUUUACUCAUUAGGCCCAGGCAGGGAAGGCGCCCACCUGCUCCAUCCCCAGGCCCCACCUCCCAGGGUGGGGUCACAGGGCACUGCAGGGGAGGAACCACCCUGGAGGGGCCCUACCAUUGGCCUCCCUGGAAUGGAGACAAGGGGUGGGAAGAGACGUCCCUCCCUUUGCUCUCCUCCCAAAGUGAGGCAGGGAGCACCUCAGGGUGCCUGAGACUAGCCCUGGCAGCUGGAGACCCCCAGCCAGCUGGAGUGGGGGUCAGGGCUGGGUGGUGACCCCAGAGGUCCUGAGCCAGUUGGGGGAUAUAGAUGGGACAGGAGGGCCUCACAACUCCUUUGAGGGCUCCCUGUGUUAACAAACCCACAGUGGUGUUCAAUGUUGCUCACCCCACAGAAAGCCAACCACUGAGAUGACAGAUUUGCCAAGGAAGAAAGCAUUUACUUCAGGAGUCACAUCUGCUGGGGGGAGGCACUAGCUGCCUCCACUGGACUCCACCUCCCUGACUGAUAGGGUCAGGGGCUUUUAAGGAGGCAUAAAUAAAUAAUGCAGGAGGGGAGUGGGCAUCAUUACUCCUCUGGGGAGGACUGCCGGGCAGGAAAGCACAGGGAGGAAUCAUGCUACCACACAGCCUAUGAUCAAGAAACAGCAGGUAAGUCCCACCCAGGAUGGGGGUAUCAGAACUGUAAUGAGCGGGAGGUUAAUACUGGUCAUUCUAUCAGUCUGUGCCCAGGCUCAGUGGGUCCUUGGACACAGUGUGCUGUGGGGUGCCGCUUAUCUUGGCCUCUCAGGACAAACAGGUGGUGUAAGGCUCUGCAGUUAUCUGGUGGCUGCAAGGAGGUUCUGCUGUUUCUGGGAAAGACACUCAUAAGGGAAUGGGUCAGCAGGGCAGAAAGUCACACAGUCCUGGUCAGCAAAUCUUACCCUCCCAGGAAUAUAAAGAACAGAGAAAGUACAUGAUAUAUAUAUCACGCUUCUGGAGCUAGCUACCCCGAGUAUGGAGACCCUGGCCCCCAGCGGGAAGGACUUGCAGAGCCUGGGGGAGCCUCCAGAGGAGACACCGCCCACCACAGCUGGUGUCUUACUCUCUGGAAUCCCUUCGAGGGGCUCCCGAGGGAGUUGCAGUGUCCAGCAGGACUGGUCUUCUUGGUACCAGCGGGAAAGGCCUGUGGCAGGGAGUGCUAUGCCCCGGAAUGGUUCCCCACGCGGCGUCGGCUCUCCACUUUCGCGGAGCCCCACUUGAAGCCCCGCAGACCAGCAGCCCCCAGAGGUCCCAGGUAGGGCGCGGGUCCAGAGGCUGGACGGUUCCACCCAGCUGCGAGCGGCGGGAGGGGCAGGGCUGAGGACCCUAACGCAGGUCCUGGGCGGAGGGCGAGUCACUGCUCAGCCACUCGCAUGCGGGAACUCCGCCUUUUGGCUUUCGUGGCCGCUCUCGGAGUGCAGGUGUGGGUGCGACGGGGCGGGGUCUCCCCGCACCCCGUCGGCUCCCCGCCCCCACCUGGCCGUCACAGUAGCACACGAUCGCCAUGGCAACCCGCUGGAAGCCGGGGCGCGAAGCUGGGCUCCGGGCCGGCACCAGACAGUGGCCUCUCGGCUCCUUCGGCUCCGGGA